ACACUAGACUAUGUAGUUCUUGCUAUACAAAAAAGGGGUUGUAUAGUCACGGCUGGAACGCCUUUGAUCAAAAAGUGUUCUCGAUCAGGGGUUAAGCAUCAUCAUCACCAUCAUCAACAACAACAACAAUGGUUCUGGCUACUCGUGAAUUACGGCUGAUCCUCGGAGUUAUAACUUCCCACUUAUUCAGUUUUCACAGACAUUCAAAUGGCCGGCCACUUGACUGUUCAGGAGGGAGCUAAGACUGCAGCAUGCUAUGAAGUGUGGAAUUUCAUUGUUUUGGUUCUGAGAUGGUGGCGUGCAUGGAAAGUGACAUUGUGAUAUUGUCAUACCAGUUAAAAGUGAUGGAAGAGCAGAAACGGUGAAUCACUAAACAAAACUAUCUUGCGUUCCUGAAGGUCUUGGGUUCACAUUUUACAGGAUUCAAUUGUCACUUACAUUGCUCCGGAGGACUCGAUAAAAAACAAAACAAAAAUAAAAUAAAAGCAAUCUCCUGAUAUCGAAACAUUCGAUUCUACUCCUUCCCUCCGAAUGCACCUAAUAAUUCAGAAACCCCUUUAGCAUUUCAAUAUAUGAUCUAUGAUUCGUAGGUUUGUUGUGAAUAUCUUUCGAUACACACGCACAAACAACACACCCACGCAUACAUACAUUUCCUCCGUCUUCCCUUCUUUGGACUUUCCUAUAUUUCCGAUGAAAAGCUCCGCUCGAAACGUCAAAUUCUCUUUUUUUCCUUUCCUGAGCGUCCAGUAACACAAUAUCUGUAUCACGU